UACGGGAGGCAGCAGUAAGGAAUAUUGGUCAAUGGGCGGAAGCCUGAACCAGCCAUGCCGCGUACAGGAAGACGGCCCUACGGGUUGUAAACUGCUUUUGCAGGGGAAUAAACCUCGAUACGUGUAUCGAGUUGAAUGUACCUUGAGAAUAAGGAUCGGCUAACUCCGUGCCAGCAGCCGCGGUAAUACGGAGGAUCCAAGCGUUAUCCGGAUUUAUUGGGUUUAAAGGGUGCGUAGGUGGCUUAUUAAGUCAGGGGUGAAAGACGGUAGCUUAACUAUCGCAGUGCCUUUGAUACUGAUGAGCUUGAAUGAACUAGAGGUAGGCGGAAUGUGACAAGUAGCGGUGAAAUGCAUAGAUAUGUCACAGAACACCAAUUGCGAAGGCAGCUUACUAUGGUUUUAUUGACACUGAGGCACGAAAGCGUGGGGAUCAAACAGGAUUAGAUACCCUGGUAGUCCACGCCCUAAACGAUGAAUACUCGAUGUUGGCGAUAUACGGUCAGCGUCUAAGCGAAGCGUUAAGUAUCCACCUGGGGAGUACGCCCGCAAGGUGAAACUCAAAGGAUUGACGGGGGCCGCACAAGCGGAGGAGCAUGUGGUUAAUUCGAUGAUACGCGAGGAACCUUACCCGGCUUGAAAGUUAG
rnacentral:rRNA from 1 species